ACGGGAGGCAGCAGUGGGGAAUAUUGGGCAAUGGGCGAAAGCCUGACCCAGCAACGCCGCGUGAAGGAAGAAGGUCUUCGGAUUGUAAACUUCUUUUAUGAGGGACGAAGGACGUGACGGUACCUCAUGAAUAAGCCACGGCUAACUACGUGCCAGCAGCCGCGGUAAUACGUAGGUGGCGAGCGUUAUCCGGAUUUACUGGGUGUAAAGGGCGCGUAGGCGGGGAUGCAAGUCAGAUGUGAAAUCUAUGGGCUUAACCCAUAAACUGCAUUUGAAACUGUAUCUCUUGAGUGCUGGAGAGGUAGAUGGAAUUCCGAGUGUAGCGGUGAAAUGCGUAGAGAUUCGGAGGAACACCAGUGGCGAAGGCGGCCUACUGGGCUUUAACUGACGCUGAGGCUCGAAAGUGUGGGGAGCAAACAGGAUUAGAUACCCUGGUA
rnacentral:rRNA from 1 species